UAGGGAAUCUUCCGCAAUGGGCGAAAGCCUGACGGAGCAACGCCGCGUGAGUGAUGAAGGUCUUCGGAUCGUAAAACUCUGUUAUUAGGGAAGAACAAAUGUGUAAGUAACUAUGCACGUCUUGACGGUACCUAAUCAGAAAGCCACGGCUAACUACGUGCCAGCAGCCGCGGUAAUACGUAGGUGGCAAGCGUUAUCCGGAAUUAUUGGGCGUAAAGCGCGCGUAGGCGGUUUUUUAAGUCUGAUGUGAAAGCCCACGGCUCAACCGUGGAGGGUGAUUGGAAACUGGAAAACUUGAGUGCAGAAGAGGAAAGGGGAAUUCGAUGUGGAGCGGGGAAAUGGGCAGAGAUAUGGAGGAACACAAGUGGCGAAGGCGACUGUCUGGUCUGUAACUGACGCUGAUGUGCGAAAGCGUGGGGAUCAAACAGG
rnacentral:rRNA from 1 species